rnacentral:rRNA from 1 species
AUGGCUCAGGACGAACGCUGGCGGCGUGCUUAACACAUGCAAGUCGAACGGUGAAGACCAGCUUGCUGGUUGGAUCAGUGGCGAACGGGUGAGUAACACGUGAGCAACCUGCCCUUCACUCUGGGAUAAGCCUUGGAAACGGGGUCUAAUACCGGAUAUGACAUCCUCAUGCAUGCGGGGGUGUGGAAAGAUUUAUCGGUGGGGGAUGGGCUCGCGGCCUAUCAGCUUGUUGGUGGGGUAAUGGCCUACCAAGGCGACGACGGGUAGCCGGCCUGAGAGGGCGACCGGCCACACUGGGACUGAGACACGGCCCAGACUCCUACGGGAGGCAGCAGUGGGGAAUAUUGCACAAUGGGCGCAAGCCUGAUGCAGCGACGCCGCGUGAGGGAUGACGGCCUUCGGGUUGUAAACCUCUUUCAGCAGGGAAGAAGCGAAAGUGACGGUACCUGCAGAAGAAGCGCCGGCUAACUACGUGCCAGCAGCCGCGGUGAUACGUAGGGCGCAAGCGUUGUCCGGAAUUAUUGGGCGUAAAGAGCUCGUAGGCGGUCAGUCGCGUCUGCUGUGAAAACUCGAGGCUCAACCUCGGGCUUGCAGUGGGUACGGGCUGACUAGAGUGCGGUAGGGGUGACUGGAAUUCCUGGUGUAGCGGUGGAAUGCGCAGAUAUCAGGAGGAACACCGAUGGCGAAGGCAGGUCACUGGGCCGCAACUGACGCUGAGGAGCGAAAGCAUGGGGAGCGAACAGGAUUAGAUACCCUGGUAGUCCAUGCCGUAAACGUUGGGCACUAGGUGUGGGGUCCAUUCCACGGAUUCCGUGCCGCAGCUAACGCAUUAAGUGCCCCGC